rnacentral:lncRNA from 1 species
AUUACAUAAUAGGCUCACCAGAUUAGCAGUAUCCCAUUACUUGAAAUUUCAGAACCAAAGCCUGAGAGCUGAUUCCUCUCUCUCACUUACUCACUCUCACUCUCUCUCUCUCUCUCACACACACACACACAACACACACACACACACAUUCUUCUUAUACACACAUACAUGCCUGCAGACACAUUAAGAUCCAACUCAUUUUUCUUAGAUAUUUAUUUCCUGCUUCAUUGUGAAUGUAUACCGAAACAUUCCACUAGUUUCAGAAACACUGAAAAGGGCUGGAUCUAAAAACUGUUUAAUUGGUGGGGCUACUUGUCCACCCAGAAGAGUGUCUCCUGUUUAGAGGAAUUGAAGCUGCUUGCCAAUACUUCAGGGAAAAUGUGCAGUGACAGAAUAAUGAAGCAUUUUAUUCCCCGUUGUUCUUUUCAAACAUCCAGCAGUCUCAGGCCUAGGGCAGUACUGCUCUGUGCUUGCUAUGAUCAACAAAACCAAGCAAGUCAACACAGCUGGUAAUCUCCUGGGCAAGAAUGCAGCACAAGGAAAUUAAAUGGGCAAUACAAAGCACAGCUGAGUUUAAAAAAAAAGAUUCUUGGUAAAUGUGUGUGUAUUCUUGGGUUUUCACAAGGUGAGAGAUACAAGCAACGUGUCCAGACUUUUGCCAGAAGAAAAAGUUGAACUUCACAGACCUAGGCAGACUGACGUGACUGCACUGAACAAUGCAGCUUUUGUUGAUUACUGUGAGACAUCACAGACAAUGAUGAAGUCUGACAGGUCUGCUGAUAGAGCAACACAAACUGACCAGAGGAAAAUGGAAAAAGCACUUCAGCUCCAGGGACCAGAAGUCAACCACGACAUUACUGAACAGCAGAGAUAAUCUACAAACAGGACAUCCCCGUACUCACUUAAUGGGGGAAGAUGUCAAAGCUUGAUAUUUUUUGUAGGAAUAGAGUGUAAAAAUAAUACAGGGGGUUUGUAAAAAGUGUAACCCUGAAAAUGUGGAUUGUGCUCAAUGCAGGAAGUUUUAAAGAGCAAUAUGCUGAAUGAAUCCUAGAGAUUACUGCAGGGCAGCUUCACCACUUUAGUCGAAUACAUUACAAAAGCCAUUGAUUCUAUGAGACCGGGGAGAGGGGGAGGAGGUUUACACUCCUGACAACACACUGAGCAGACUUCAUAACAAAACACGCUAUUCCCACUUAGUUGGCAGGGUAUUUCAGCAUGAAACCUGUGGGAAGACUACCUCCCACCUUCUUUAUUUGCUCCUCUCCAUAACCAAGGGCCUCCGCCAUAGAUGGAGCAUUGAUGUUGAAGAAAUGAGUCCCAAAUUUCUAACCUACAAUGCCGGCCAUCCAAAACUGGUAUUUUGUCAAUGGUGACAUAUCCUUGUGGCAGAGUUCACAAGCUGCUUAGAUCAAUUAAGAUUUUCAGAU